UUGCACCUUUUGUCUGAUGGGUCCGCAGAUUUUUAUGGCGAGACCUCUAGUUACGGUGCAUAAAGAAAAAGUUGUUUUUACAGCAGCGGCCAGACAACCGUAGAGAUGAAUCCACAGACGUAUGGUUAUUUUUGUACUGUAUGUCUACUGAUUUCAUCUCAAAUUU